UACGUAGGGGGCAAGCGUUGUCCGGAAUUAUUGGGCGUAAAGAGCGCGUAGGCGGUCUGGUAAGUCGGUUGUGAAAGUCGGGGGCUCAACCCUCGGAUGCCGAUCGAUACUGUCAGGCUAGAGUCCGGAAGAGGCGAGUGGAAUUCCUGGUGUAGCGGUGAAAUGCGCAGAUAUCAGGAGGAACACCAAUGGCGAAGGCAGCUCGCUGGGACGGUACUGACGCUGAGGAGCGAAAGCGUGGGGAGCGAACAGG
rnacentral:rRNA from 1 species